UACGUAGGUGGCAAGCGUUAUCCGGAAUUAUUGGGCGUAAAGAGCUCGUAGGCGGUUUGUCGCGUCUGCCGUGAAAGUCCGGGGCUCAACUCCGGAUCUGCGGUGGGUACGGGCAGACUAGAGUGAUGUAGGGGAGACUGGAAUUCCUGGUGUAGCGGUGAAAUGCGCAGAUAUCAGGAGGAACACCGGUGGCGAAGGCGGGUCUCUGGGCCGAUACUGACGCUGAGGAGCGAAAGCGUGGGGAGCGAACAGG
rnacentral:rRNA from 1 species